ACAACGCGGGGGCUGUCGCGUUUUUUUUAAUUUUUUAAACACGAACAGAGAUUUGUAACGUUGUAUCGCAUGAACUGUACGAUUGAUGACACGAGUUGAUUCGAAUUGGACUCUUUUUCUGGUAAUGUUGGUGAAGAAGUGAAACUGUUUUUAGCGGAGUGGUUUACUGAACUGGCACCGGAUUUAUGGAAAUGGAGUGUGGUGUAUCAUCGGUGUAUCAUCAUUAGAACGACUACAAAAAGAGCGGAAGAACUCAUUGCAGUUGAGCUCUUAACGCCAAAACUAAAACACACCACCACACACCCAGUUUAAUAAGGCUACAGACUUGGAUCUUUACCAGUCGGGAUGGAACGACGUCGCAAACUUUGUUUAUUUUUGGCUUCGAUCCUGUCUUGUUUACAGUGGACAGCCUCUUUCAACCUGGAUAUUGACAAGCCCUAUGUAUUCUCUGGACCGAAAGGAAGUUAUUUUGGAUUUUCAGUGGAUUUUUUCCAGCCAAAUAAUAAGCAGUCAAACAUUCUUAUAGGAGCUCCCAGAGCCAACACCUCCUCAGCUUCCACCGUGGUGGAGCGAGGGGCAGUCUAUACCUGCCCGUGGCAGAAGAGUAGUGACUGUACCCAAGUACAGUUUGACAAUACUGAUGAUCGCGAGAAUAUGGAUGGCGUCCCAGAAUGGAUGGUCAAGUC